rnacentral:rRNA from 1 species
AUUGAACGCUGGCGGCAGGCCGAACACAUGCAAGUCGAGCGGAAACGACACUAACAAUCCUUCGGGUGCGUUAAUGGGCGUCGAGCGGCGGACGGGUGAGUAACGCGUAGGAAUCUACCGAGUAGUGGGGGACAACCAGUGGAAACGAUGGCUAAUACCGCAUAAUGCCUACGGGCCAAAGAGGGGGAUCUUCGGACCUCUCGCCUCAAGAUAUGCCUAGGUGGGAUUAGCUAGUUGGUGAGGUAAUGGCUCACCAAGGCGACGAUCCCUAGCUGGUCUGAGAGGAUGAUCAGCCACACUGGAACUGAGACACGGUCCAG